rnacentral:rRNA from 1 species
GACGAACGCUGGCGGCGUGCCUAAGACAUGCAAGUCGAACGGGACCUUCGGGUCUAGUGGCGAACGGCGGAGUAAUACAUAAGUAACUUGCCUCGAAGAUCGGGAUAGCCGCGGGAAACUGCGAGUAAUACCGGAUGUGACGAGUGGGGGGCAUCCCCUGCUCAUUAAAUGGUUUUUCGCUUCGAGAGCGGCUUAUGACACAUCAGCUAGUUGGUGGGGUAAAGGCCUACCAAGGCGACGACGUGUAGGGGGUCUGAGAGGAUGAUCCCCCCCGAGUGGGACUGAGACACGGCCCACACACCUACGGGUGGCAGCAGUUGGGAAUCUUGCACAAUGGGGGAAACCCUGAUGCAGCGACGCCGCGUGGAGGAAGAAGGGUCUAGGCUCGUAAACUCCUUUUUCAGGGAAAGACUUAGGACGGUACCCUGAGAAUAAGCUCCGGCUAACUACGUGCCAGCAGCCGCGGUAAUGUAU